GUGGGGAAUAUUGGACAAUGGGCGCAAGCCUGAUCCAGCCAUGCCGCGUGAGUGAUGAAGGCCUUAGGGUUGUAAAGCUCUUUCACCGAUGAAGAUAAUGACGGUAGUCGGAGAAGAAGCCCCGGCUAACUUCGUGCCAGCAGCCGCGGUAAUACGAAGGGGGCUAGCGUUGUUCGGAUUUACUGGGCGUAAAGCGCACGUAGGCGGUUUGUUAAGUCAGAGGUGAAAUCCCGGAGCUCAACUCCGGAACUGCCGUUGAUACUGGCAAGCUAGAGUCCGGAAGAGGUAAGUGGAACUCCUAGUGUAGAGGUGGAAUUCGUAGAUAUUCGGAAGAACACCAGUGGCGAAGGCGACUCACUGGCCCAAUACUGACGCUGAGGCGCGAAAGCGUGGGGAGCAAACAGGAUUAGAAACCCUUGUAGUCC
rnacentral:rRNA from 1 species